rnacentral:rRNA from 1 species
UACGGAGGGGGCUAGCGUUGUUCGGAAUUACUGGGCGUAAAGCGCACGUAGGCGGCUUUAUAAGUUAGAGGUGAAAGCCUGGAGCUCAACUUCAGAAUUGCCUUUAAGACUGCAUGGCUUGAAUCCGGGAGAGGUGAGUGGAAUUCCGAGUGUAGAGGUGAAAUUCGUAGAUAUUCGGAAGAACACCAGUGGCGAAGGCGGCUCACUGGACCGGCAUUGACGCUGAGGUGCGAAAGCGUGGGGAGCAAACAGG